UCCGGUGACGAUAGCUGUGGGGUUCCACCUGUUCCCAUCCCGAACACAGCAGUUAAGCCCACAUACGCCGAAAGUACUUGGCUGGAAGCGGCCUGGGAGGAUAGGUAGUUGCCGGUU
rnacentral:rRNA from 1 species